UACAGAGGUCUCAAGCGUUGUUCGGAUUCAUUGGGCGUAAAGAGCUCGUAGGCGGUUCGGUAAGUCAGGUGUGAAAACUCCAGGCUCAACUUGGAGACGCCACCUGAUACUGUCGUGACUAGAGUCCGGUAGGGGAGCAUGGAAUUCCUGGUGUAGCGGUGAAAUGCGCAGAUAUCAGGAGGAACACCAGCGGCGAAGGCGGUGCUCUGGGCCGGAACUGACGCUGAGGAGCGAAAGCGUGGGGAGCGAACAGG
rnacentral:rRNA from 1 species